AAGAGAGUCAUAGAAGUUAUGGGAUUGGCUUGAAACCAAUUUCUGGAGGUUCAAUUCCUUCCUUUCUUG
rfam:Pan troglodytes isolate Yerkes chimp pedigree #C0471 (Clint) chromosome 2B, whole genome shotgun sequence.